AAUCUGUGGUGCGGGCAAUUUUGAACAAACAUUUUGAAAAGUUCCCACGCCUUAUAGAAACUUUCUCCCCCCAUCUGUCUAAACACAACAAUCUCUCUUCUUAUU
rnacentral:snoRNA from 1 species